GGGAGCUCAUGGUAUGUGGUCGGUUUGGCCCAGUGCUGCCAAGAGUUGGCAACACCAGCUCAGUUCAGCCGGUGUUUUGCAAACAAACAUCACUUUGGAGAUACAGACAUGAGCUGCCCACUGCAGCCAGGUGGGCUGGGCACAGCCAACCCCUUCAAGGGCCAGGGCUGGCCUCCCAAGCCAAGGUUUUCCCUUACCAGUGAGGCAGGCUCUGCACUUACACUGCGGGAGCAGGGAUGCGGGGCUGGCUUGUGGAAGGUAGGUUAGGCAUCGAGUGGCUACACAUACAGGAGAGUGGAAACAUAAAACUGUACAAAGUCACACUUGGCACACAGUUGAUAUAGUCACAGCUGGAGCUACUAGGGCUUUCUAAGGGCACACUCAGCAGUUCUUACCAAUGAUGUUUUCUUGCCCAGUUGUGAAUAAGCCAUAGGUAGAAGCUCCUGGAGGCUUCUGGUUGAUUGUCUUGCAGGGCUGUCCUACUAGAACUGGGAUCCUAGACCUAACACUGCAAAUAACAGUUCUGUUUCUAACAUCUAACACCAUGCUACUAAUUUACCCUGGACUCCGGCC
rnacentral:lncRNA from 1 species